GUGUUAUGUAUGUAAUAGAAGUGAUGUUACCUGCCUCCAAGUUAAAGGGGGAGGAGUGCAGUGUAUGUAAUAGAAAAGGUAUUACCUGCCUCCAAGUUAAAGGGGGAGGAGUGUUAGGUAUGGGAUAAUUAGGAUAAGUAAUUGGUAUCUUGUGAUGUCUUGGGCAAGUACGCAUGAGCAGGGGGAGACUGGAGGUGGCGUCCUGCAGUAAAGAAGCUUGUAUGAUU